rnacentral:rRNA from 1 species
CCGUUUUUAGUUGGUGGAUUGAUUUGUCUGGUUAAUUCCGAAAACGAACGAGACCUUAACCUGUUAACUAUGUGAUGUUAAAAUUCGACUUCGGUCUCAAUAUUUGAUAUUAAAAAUUUAAUACUUCUUAAAGGAACAAUUCAAACUUUAAUUGAAUGGAAGUUUAAGGCAAAAACAGGUCUGUGAUGCCCCUUCGAUGUUCUGGGCUGCACGCGCGUUACACUGAUAUGUUCAAUGAGUUUUUAAAUUUCCUAGUCUGAAAAGACGUGGUAAACUUAGAAAAACAUAUCGUGAUUGGAAUAGUAUUUUGUAAUUAUCGCACUUUGAACGAGGAAUUCCUAGUAGGGGCGAAUUCAUCAAAUUAGCCCCGACUUACGUCCCCGCCCUUUGUACACACCGCCCGUCCGCUUCUACCGAUUGAAUAAUGCGAUGAGGA